CUAAUACCGGAUACGACCAUCUGGCGCAUGUCAUGGUGGUGGAAAGCUUUUGUGGUUUUGGAUGGACUCGCGGCCUAUCAGCUUGUUGGUGGGGUAAUGGCCUACCAAGGCGACGACGGGUAGCCGGCCUGAGAGGGUGACCGGCCACACUGGGACUGAGACACGGCCCAGACUCCUACGGGAGGCAGCAGUGGGGAAUAUUGCACAAUGGGCGCAAGCCUGAUGCAGCGACGCCGCGUGAGGGAUGACGGCCUUCGGGUUGUAAACCUCUUUCAGUAGGGAAGAAGCGAAAGUGACGGUACCUGCAGAAGAAGCGCCGGCUAACUACGUGCCAGCAGCCGCGGUAAUACGUAGGGCGCAAGCGUUAUCCGGAAUUAUUGGGCGUAAAGAGCUCGUAGGCGGUUUGUCGCGUCUGCUGUGAAAGACCGGGGCUCAACUCCGGUUCUGCAGUGGGUACGGGCAGACUAGAGUGCAGUAGGGGAGACUGGAAUUCCUGGUGUAGCGGUGAAAUGCGCAGAUAUCAGGAGGAACACCGAUGGCGAAGGCAGGUCUCUGGGCUGUAACUGACGCUGAGGAGCGAAAGCAUGGGGAGCGAACAGGAUUAGAUACCCUGGUAGUCCAUGCCGUAAACGUUGGGCACUAGGUGUGGGGGACAUUCCACGUUUUCCGCGCCGUAGCUAACGCAUUAAGUGCCCCGCCUGGGGAGUACGGCCGCAAGGCUAAAACUCAAAGGAAUUGACGGGGGCCCGCACAAGCGGCGGAGCAUGCGGAUUAAUUCGAUGCAACGCGAAGAACCUUACCAAGGCUUGACAUGAACCGGAAAGACCUGGAAACAGGUGCCCCGCUUGCGGUCGGUUUACAGGUGGUGCAUGGUGUCGUCAGCUC
rnacentral:rRNA from 1 species